rnacentral:tRNA from 1 species
GCUAGCGUAGCUUAAUCCAAAGCAUUUCACUGAAGUUGUUAAGAUGGGCCCUAGAAAGCCCCGCAAGCA